rnacentral:lncRNA from 1 species
UAACUUCUUGUUGCUUUCUUUAGUGGAAAAAAAUUAGUCUCACAUUAUUGUUUGGGUUUUUUUUUUUUUUUUCCUGAACAAGAUGAAAGUAGAUGUUAAAGAAUCAAGGAAAUAUUUUCAUUUAGACUAUCAGGAUAACCAGAGAGGAAACAAUAGAUAUCAAAUAUAAAAUACAAGAGGCAAAAACCAUUGUAUAGGAACUGUUGAAUCACGGCCCGAACCUCUGAUUGACCACCUGAGGCAAGCACUGAGUCAGCCAUGGGAGCACAGGUGAAGGCAAUUCAGCUGUGUGACCAGAAGGGGUGGAGCCAGACUCCAUCUCUCCUAGACCCCAUUUAAGGGCUGACUGCCACUAAGGAAGGAUCUCUUCCUGGAGAUUGCUCCUUGUGGAGUUUUCUCUGUGAGCCUAUGACGUUGAUCCGGGUGUUUGAUCUUCAUCGCUGCCUUGCUGCUCCGUUUGGCCACCCAGCUCCUGAAGCAGUGCCAAGAACAUAGUGUUGAAAUGUGUUGGAGAUUGGAAAGGGAGAGGAGAGAGUCCUGUAUUGGUCAUCAAGAAAAAUCAACUGUAGGAUGCUCGAAGAGAUGCUUCAGUUUUGAUCAGCAUAAAAGAUAUUCUUUUUCCUUUAGCCUAAAAUACAGUGACCUAUGGAUACAAAGUUUGACUGAAUGAUGAACAGUAAAGUUCAUUCUUACUGAACUGGUAAUAGUUUACGUUAAGUACUUUUGAUUCAUCCGAACAAGAUAUUACUUUUCCAGUAAACUGAAUGAAUGAAGUGAGAUUCACCCCAACUGUGUGAAUGCAUAUAUUCAGCUAUACGGGUUUAAAAACAAAAAUAAAAAGCAGUUUCCCAAGCAGAGAUAGACUUAUUUUCCACAUGUGUAGGCCGGUGCUGACACCUGCUGGCUUUAUUGCUGAGUGAUUUCAUAGUUUUUUCCAGUUAUUACAGGUAUGAAUCGUGAUUAACUUGCUGCUGCCAAUGUUGUCUGUCUCCUCUGCUUCCCAGCCACCUCGGUAUCCAGUAUUUUGGUAUCACAUCUGAAACUGCCUGGCAAUUGCAGCUGUAUUGAUUGCAUGCCAAGCGAAUGAGAACUAUGGAUUUCUUCAAAGGGCACUCAGAAAGCUUCAGUUCAACACACGCAGUCACUAAUGCUGCAGCAGACAGAAGUUACAGGUUUAUCUGUUCAUGAGAUAAUAUUUCAUUUUAUAUUACUGUCUACAUAGGAGAGCAUCAAGGACUGUCAAAGUUUACCACAUACGUACUUUUAGGCACACAUGUUUUCUAUAUGGCCAAAAAGCACUCUUCCGUCCUCUUCACCCUUGAAGAAUUACUAAUAGCUAAAUACAUCCAAAGGCUGUGCUGGAGAAUUUCUGGUAAUAUAGGUCCUUGAGGUGCACCACACACCUAUGGCUAUAAAAGCCCUUAAAAUAUAGAGACCGCUUUGUGUGUUCACAUCCCUGCUUUGCAGUGUUCAUGUUGUGGUAACACAAGACAGCAACUGCCCUUUCAUUGCGCUAUAUAUUUUUUUUAACCUUCUAUGUUAAGUAAAUUGCAAUUAAAUAGGGAGGGUUUUUCUACAGUAUGGACCAAAUCCUCAGCUUAUGUAAAUCACUGCUUAUAGCUUCCUUCAAGGCAAAGAGGUGACAUUAAUUUCUAUUUGUGAAGAACAUGAUUGCCUUUGUAUGUUAAGAAAAAUCAAAGGAAUAACAAUGUGCCGAUGAAGGCAUGAUUUGCUGGCAUCUCUGUAUAUCUAAGUGAAGAAUUUUUAUUCUCAGUAAUCCUUCUUCCCCCCUCCAAAUCUCAAUUGCUAAUUGAAUUUUAAUGCAAUAGAUGUAUUACAAUGAACCAUUAGAAUCUCCUUUUUGACAUGCUUCCCCAGGAAGUGAAAAGGCUCAGGUAGCGAGGCACAUUUGUUAGCUAUUUCAGAGCUCUUCCAGAAGGUAUUUGAUCAAAGAGAAGUGAGUGACAGUAUCAUUUCAAGGUGCAGUAAGAGCUUCUCUCUCACGUGGACAGCUGCUUGUAAUGCACCAUCAUGAUCAAACAAAGUGCCUGUAGAUCUCUAAAUGCCUCUGCUGCACGAAGUUAAAGCAUUUGAACCUGCACGGGGUCUGUUUGGCAAACGAGAAUGAGGUGCUCCGUGAAUCAAGAGGGACCUCUGUAAGCAGUAGUGGAUGUGUAACUGGCAGCAAAGCCUUUGUGGCAUGGAAGAGUAGGAACUGCAAGCCAAAAGCUCCAGGCAACUGGCAGACCUUGCCCCACCUACAGCUCUAAGAUGCAGCAGAGUUGCACAAAGUGUGGAAAAAACCCC